UUUUUUUUUUUUUUUAAGGAAAAAAAGAUAGAUUUAUUGCUUUGCCAGGGGCCACAGCAGGCUAAUGCCUUAAAGACCGUACCCCUACAUUCCAUGAGUUUUGACAAAUGUGUAAUGGCCUGUGUUCACCAUAGUAUUACACAGAGUAGCUUCACUGCCCUGAACAUCCUCUGUUCUGCCUGUCCACUCCUCUUUCCCCCCAACCUUGAAAACUACCAAUCUUUUUUUUACUGUCUCCGUAUUUUUUGCCUUUUCCAGAAUGUUAUAUAGCAGGAAUCAUACCGUAGGUAGCCUUUUCAGAUUGGCUUCUUUCAGUUAGGCAUUUCGUGUUCCUUCAUUUCUUUUCAUGGCUUGCUAGCUCGUUUCUUUUUAGCACUGGGUACAUCCAGACAAAGGAAUGGUUUGCUGAUAUCCACGAAAUAACCUUCUAGGAUUUUGUCAGGACUUGUGUUGAAUCUAUAGAUCAAGUUAGGAAGAACUUAAUACUGAGUCUUGCUAUCCAUGAACAUGGACUAGCUCUCCAUUUAUUUAGUUCAUCUUUGGUUUCUUUAUACUUUGUUAGCUUUUGUUUGUAUUUCAUCUUGGGGGUUGCUAAUGUAAAUAGGAUUAUGCUUUCAAUUAAUUAGUUUAUUUUUUAUUUUUUUGUCUUUUUGUCUUUUCUAGGUCCACACCUAGCAUAUGGAGUUUCCCAGGCUAGGGGUCCAAUCAGGGUUGUAGCCACCGGCCUAUGCCAAAGCCACAGCCACGUGAGAUCCGAGCCGCGUCUGCAACCUACACCACAGCUCAUGGCAACGCCGGAUCCUUAACCCACUGAGCGAGGCCAGGGAGUGAACCUGCAACCUCAUGGUUCCUAGUCAGAUUUGUUAACCACUGAGCCACGGUGGGAAUUCCCAGUGACUGACUUUUCUUUAUUGAUCUUGUAUCCUGCAAUUUUCCUGUAAAUGCUUGUUAGUUCCAGGAGUUGUUUUUUGUUUGUUUGCUUUUGUUUUUCAAUUGUUAGGUUUUUUUGAUUUUCUACAUAGACAAGAAUUUAUUUUUUAAACUUUUUUCUUACAACUCUCCCCCAUAUUUCUAUUAUAAAUAUUUUCAAAUAUACAAAAAAUACAAAAAAGUUGAAAAAAGUAAUACAGUGAAGACUCAUAUACUCACAACCUAGAUUCAACUAUUUAUAUCUUAGUAUAGUGGCUUUAGUAUAUUUUGGUCACUGUGUCCAUCCCUCUAUCUAUGCAUCAAAUCAUUUUAUUUUUCCUUACAACUUUUUACUCAUGAAAAAUCUUAAACACAAAGGAAAUUAAAAGAAAAAUAGAGAGGAAAAUCCACACGCUCACUUAGAUUCAAUAGCUGUAACAUUGUGCCAUAUUGGCUUUAUCUGUAUGUAUGUAAAUAUAUGUACUUUGUUCUCUGAACCAUUUUAAGAUUAAGUUGCUGAUAUAGUAGCAUUUCAUAAUCUUAUAAUUUAUGUACAUCUUAUAGUUUAGCUUACAUGUCCUAGAAAUAAAAGCUUUCUGACUGAAGAGUUUGGAUCACAGUAAUGACCCGAUUUGACUUAUCAUUUAACAGCAUCCCUCUGGCUGCUGAGAGAUGAUAGAUGAAUUAGGGAAAUAAGACAUGGGAAACCUUUAGUUUAGUUAACAUAUGAUAUGUUGUGCUUGAUGACAGCGGGAGGCGGAUGAGGCUAGAAAGGUCAGGGACUGAUGCUGCAUUUAAAUUGUAUUAAUCUUAUAUACAUCAGGGUGUCCCACAUAUGAUGGCUUUUAUACUUAUGUUAUAUGAGUACUCUCUGUACUUUUAUUGUAUCUUUUUAUGUUUUUAAUGCUUUUUAUUUUUUCCAUUAUAGUGGGUUGACAGUGUUCUGUCAGUUUCUACUGUACAGCAAAGUGACCCAGUCACACAUAUAUAUACAUUCUUUUUCUCGCAUUAUCUUCCAUCAUGUUCCAUCAUAAGUGACUAGAUAUAAUUCCCUGUGCUGUACAGCAGGAAAUAUUUUUAUUUUAAUUCAUUUUAAAUCACACACUUUAAAAAAAUCUUAGGUGUCAUAAAUGAUUCAGUUUUACAUAUAUUCAUACAUUAUAUAUGUAUACACAUACAUACAUAAAAUUUUAUAUAUAUGUACACACACAGAUACACAUAUUCUUUUUUACAUUCUUUUCCAUUAUGGUUUGUCUCAGGAUAUUGAAUAGAUACAUCCCUGUGCUAUUCUGUAGGAACUUGUUGUUUAUGGAGUUCACUUUUUCUAACCCAAUUAAAAUACAGAACCAUUAAAAUAAAAAGAACUAGGAGUUCCCGUCAUGGCUUGUGGUUAACAAACCUGAUUAAGAUCCAUGAAGAUACCGGUUUGAUCCCUGGCCUCGAUCAGUGGGUUAGGGAUCUGGUGUUGCCAUGAGCUGUGGUGUAGGUCACAGACUCAGCUCAGAUCUGGCAUUGCUGUGGUUGUGGUAUAGGCUGGCAGCUGUAGCUCCGAUUUGACCCCUAGCCUGGGAACCUCCAUGUGCCUCAGGUGCAGCCCUAAAAUAGACCAAAAAAAAAAAAAAAGAGUUUUUUGGCCCCAAAUAUUAUGAUUGUAGCUAAAUCAGUUUGUUUGUUUGUUUUUGGCUGCACCCAUGGCAUACAGAAGUUCCCAGGCCAGGAAGCAAACCCACACUGCAGUUGUGGUCGGUGCCACAGUUUUGGCCAGCACCAUGGUUGGGGCCACAGUGGAUCCUUAAGCUGCUGCACCACAAGGGAACUUCCUAAAUCACUUUAUUAAUAGUAUGUCAGAAAUGGCGCUAUGAUGUGAAAUUUUGUGUAGGAAUUCUAUCUGGAAUUUCAUAGGAUCACAAUAAUAUAUAUCUGCUGUUUUGCCACAGAGUUAUCAAAGAUGUGUUGCUUUCUUCCCCAUAGCUCAUUUCUCUUCCUCUGUAAAUAAGGCCAUAAUGUUUCAUGGCAAAGGGACAGCCUGAGAACGAGAUUAUGUCCAAAGGAGGAGAUAGUCAACAUUAGGGUUUGGGGAUUUUAUUUUUUUGAGAAAUAUUACGCUUUUACUUUUUUUUCCAUUUAGUCAUUACAGUUCAAAACAUUAACAAUAGCCCCCAACCUCUGGCAAAAAAAAAAAAAAAAAAAAAA
rnacentral:lncRNA from 9 species